UGGGGAAUCUUGCACAAUGGGGGAAACCCUGAUGCAGCGACGCCGCGUGAGCGAUGAAGCCCUUCGGGGUGUAAAGCUCUUUCGGCAGGAACGAUAAUGACGGUACCUGCAGAAGAAGCUGCGGCUAACUACGUGCCAGCAGCCGCGGUAAUACGUAGGCAGCAAGCGUUGUUCGGAGUUACUGGGCGUAAAGAGUGUGUAGGCGGUUUGCCAAGUUCGGUGUGAAAUCGCCCGGCUUAACUGGGAGGGUGCGCCGAAAACUGGCAGGCGAGAGUGCGGGAGAGGAGAGCGGAAUUCCUGGUGUAGCGGUGAAAUGCGUAGAUAUCAGGAGGAACACCUGCGGUGGAGACGGCUCUCUGGACCGUUUCUGACGCUGAGACACGAAAGCGUGGGUAGCAAACA
rnacentral:rRNA from 1 species